rnacentral:rRNA from 1 species
UACGAAAGGGGCGAGCGUUGUUCGGAAUUAUUGGGCGUAAAGGGCGUCUAGGUGGCGAAUUAAGUUAGAUGUGAAAUCCCUCGGCUCAACUGAGGAACUGCAUCUAAUACUGAUAUGCUUGAGUCCAGGAGAAGGGAGCAGAAUUCUCAGUGUAGCGGUGAAAUGCGUAGAUAUUGAGAAGAAUACCAGUGGCGAAGGCGGCUCCCUAGCCUGAGACUGACACUAAAGCGCGAAAGCCAGGGGAGCGAACGGGGUUAGAUACCCCGGUAGUCCUGGCAGUAAACGAUGGGUACUUGGUGUUGGAGGUAUCGACCCCUUCAGUGCCGUAGUUAACACGAUAAGUACCCCGCCUGGGGAGUACGGCCGCAAGGUUGAA